rnacentral:rRNA from 1 species
GGUUCGAUUAUGGCUCAGAUUGAACGCUGGCGGGAUGCUUUACACAUGCAAGUCGAACGGCAGCACGGACUUCGGUCUGGUGGCGAGUGGCGAACGGGUGAGUAAUGUAUCCGGAACGUGCCCUGUGUGAGGGAUAACUACGCGGCGUAGCUAACUUCACACAUACGCCCUUCAGCGAGGAAAAGCAGGGGACCUUCGGGCUCGCACUGUCGGCGGCCGAUAUCGGAUUGUGUGGAUUGGUGGGGUAACGGCUCACCAAGGCGACGAUCCGUAGCUGGUUUGAGAGGACGACCAGCCACGCAGGACUGAGACACGGCCCAGACUCCUACAGGAAGCGGCAGUGAAAUUUUGGACAAUGGGGGAAACCCUGAUCCAGCCAUCCCGCGUGUGCGAUGAAGGCCUUCGGGUUGUAAGCACUUUUGGCGGGAAAAACGGCACGGGAUAAUACCCCGUGCAACUGACGGUACCUGCAGAAUAAGCACCGGCUAACUACGUGCCAGCAGCCGCGGUAAUGGCGGGGUGCAAGCGUUAAUCGGAAUUACUGGGCAUGCAAGCGUGCGCAGGCGGUUCGGAAAGAAAGAUGUGAAAUCCCGGAAACCUUUGGAACUGCAUUUUUAGCUACCGAGCUAGAGAGUGUGUCAGAGGGAGGUGGAAUUCCGCGUGUAGCAGUGAAAUGCGCUGAAUAUGCGGAGGAACACCGAUGGCGAAAACGGCCUCCUGCGGGACCAACACUGACGCUCAUGCACGAAAAGCGACAGCAGGGGAGCAAACAGGAUUAGAUACCCUGGUAGUCCACGCCCUAAACGAUGUCAACUAGCUGUUGGGGCCUUCGGGCCUUGGUAGCGCAGCUAACGCGUGAGAUUGACCGCCUGAAGAGUACGGUCGCAAGAUUAAAACUCAAAGGGAAUUUGACGGGGACCCGCACAAGCGGUGGAUGAUGUGGUUAAUUCGAUGCAACGCGAAAAACCUUACCUACCCUUGACAUGUCUGGAAUCGAAGAGAUUUGGGAGUGCUCGCAAGAGAACCGGAACACAGGUGCUGCAUGGCUGUCGUCAGCUCGUGUCGUGAGAUGUUGGGUUGCAGUCCCGCAGCUUGGCGCAACCCUUGUCAUUAGUUGCUACGAAAGGGCACUCUAGCCAGGGCUGCCGGUGACGAGCGGAGGAAGAUGGGGAUGACGUCAAGUCCUCAUGGCCCUUAUGGGUAGGGCUUCACGUCAUACAAUGGUCGGGACAGAGGGUCGCCAACCCGCCAGGGGGUGUCCCGAGGCGAUCGUAUCCGGAUCGCAGUCUGCAACUCGACUGCGUGAAGUCGGAAUCGCUAGUAAUCGCGGAUCAGCAUGUCGCCAGGUAAGACCGUUCCCGGGUCUUGUACACACCGCCCAUCCUGUGGAUGGUUUUACCAGAAGUAGUUAGCCUAACCGUAAGGAGGGCGAUUACCGGUAGGAUUCAUGACUGGGGUGAAGUCGUAACAUUAG